UGGUGGAUGAUGUGUUCAGAAAAGAUCGCAGAAGGAUAAACCCCGAUGAACGAGAGGCCCGCAACUAAGUCUUCCGCCGAUCUUCGCAUUUCAGAAGCGCACAAAGCCGCGCUGNNNNNNNNNNNUGCUUGAGUCUGGAAAGCUAGUCCAUGCGCAGCCAGCUCAUUGGGACAACCACACGAAGCCGUUCGUGGACCAGUUCAACAUGGCGUACUGGAAUGAUAAUUUCGACUGCGGCACGGUCUGCUGCAUUGGCGGCACCGCCGAAAUAAUUGGUGGCGUCACCUUCCACGAUUGCCAGACAGAAGAACUUUUCAAUCUUUUUAACCCUGAUCACGAAUGCGAGAUGAAGGAUAUUACACCAGCACAAGCGGCUGUAGCCCUGCGUUCGUAUCUCACUGUUGGAGAAGCGC
rnacentral:misc_RNA from 1 species